rnacentral:rRNA from 1 species
UACGUAGGUGGCAAGCGUUGUCCGGAUUUACUGGGCGUAAAGAGCGCGCAGGCGGUCGUCCAAGUCGCGUGUGAAAGCCCCCGGCUCAACUGGGGAGGGUCACGCGAUACUGGUCGACUCGAAGGCAGGAGAGGGUAGUGGAAUUCCCGGUGUAGCGGUGAAAUGCGUAGAGAUCGGGAAGAACAUCGGUGGCGAAAGCGCUCUACUGGACCGCAACUGACACUCAGGGACGAAAGCUAGGGGAGCGAAUGGG